GACGAACGUUGGCGGCGUGCUUAAUACAUGCAAGUCAACUGAAGCAGUGGUAGCAAUAUCGCUGUGGAGGUGGCGCACGGGUGAGUAACACGUAGGUAAUCUGCCUUCAGGUCUGGCAUAACUCCGGGAAACCGGGGCUAAUAGCAGAUGAUGCAGCGGCUCGACAUCGAGACAGUUGUUAAAGCUAUGGCGCCUGAAGAUGAGCCUGCGUCUGAUUAGCUAGUUGGCGGGGUAACGGCCCACCAAGGCAACGAUCAGUAGCUGGUCUGAGAGGAUGAUCAGCCACACUGGAACUGAGACACGGUCCAGACUCCUACGGGAGGCAGCAGGAAGGAAUAUUGCUCAAUGGGAGAAAUCCUGAAGCAGCAACGCCGCGUGAGGGACGAAGGGCUUUUGCUUGUAAACCUCUGUAGUGAGAGAAAAAAAUCCCAAUCUUUGGGACAUGAUGGUAUCUCAAAAGUAAGCCCCGGCUAACUACGUG
rnacentral:rRNA from 1 species